ACCUAGCUGGCUGAGUCGAUAGAGCAUGUGAUUAUUGAUCUCAGGGUUGUGAGUUCAAGCCCCAUGUUUGGUA
rnacentral:tRNA from 1 species